rnacentral:lncRNA from 1 species
UCAAAGCUCAGGAACAAUGAAGAAGAAGGAAUAGACUUAGAAGGCAUAAAACCUAAUAAAUUCUUGUAGUUUUCACACCGGAGAUUGCUAUAAAGAGGGAAAGCAUUGCAAGUUCAUGACUACGUUGCAUCUGCUAGGUACCAAGGUUGGUUGGGUUUGUCUUGAGCAGUAGACCUCGAUAAUAAACACAUGCAUAACGUAGACUGAUGGGAGA